CUACGGGACGCACCAGUGAGGAAUAUUGCGCAAUGGGCGAAAGCCUGACGCAGCGACGCCGCGUGGAGGAUGAAGGCCUUCGGGUUGUAAACUUCUGUUAAGUGGGAAGAAAUUCUGGUUUCUAAUAAAAGUCAGAGAUGACGGUACCAUUAGAGAAAGCACCGGCUAAUCUCGUGCCAGCAGCCGCGGUAAUACGAGAGGUGCAAGCGUUAUUCGGAAUUACUGGGCGUAAAGGGUGUGUAGGCGGCUGCCAAGUCUAUCGUUAAAUCUUAUGGCCUAACCAUGAGCUCGCGAUAGAAACUGGCUUGCUUGAGGAAGGAAGAGAGAGGUGGAAUUCUCGGAGUAGCGGUAAAAUGCGUGGAUCUCGAGAGGAACACCAAUGGCGAAAGCAGCCUCUUUGGCCUUUCCUGACGCUGAGACACGAAAGCGUGGGGAGCAAACAGGAUUAGAUACCCGGGUAGUC
rnacentral:rRNA from 1 species